rnacentral:rRNA from 1 species
AGUGAACGCUGGCGGUAGGCCUAACACAUGCAAGUCGAACGGCAGCACAGUAAGAGCUUGCUCUUACGGGUGGCGAGUGGCGGACGGGUGAGGAAUACAUCGGAAUCUACUUUUUCGUGGGGGAUAACGUAGGGAAACUUACGCUAAUACCGCAUACGACCUACGGGUGAAAGCAGGGGAUCUUCGGACCUUGCGCGAUUGAAUGAGCCGAUGUCGGAUUAGCUAGUUGGCGGGGUAAAGGCCCACCAAGGCGACGAUCCGUAGCUGGUCUGAGAGGAUGAUCAGCCACACUGGAACUGAGACACGGUCCAGACUCCUACGGGAGGCAGCAGUGGGGAAUAUUGGGCAAUGGGCGAAAGCCUGAUCCAGCCAUACCGCGUGGGUGAAGAAGGCCUUCGGGUUGUAAAGCUCUUUUGUUGGGAAAGAAAAGCAGCAGGUUAAUACCCCGCUGUUCUGACGGUACCCAAAGAAUAAGCACCGGCUAACUUCGUG